rnacentral:rRNA from 1 species
AUGAACGCUAGCGACAGGCCUAACACAUGCAAGUCGAGGGGCAUCAGGUAUCAGCUUGCUGAUACGCUGGCGACCGGCGCACGGGUGAGUAACGCGUAUGCAAUCUGCCUGUAACAGGGGGAUAACCCGGAGAAAUCCGGCCUAAUACCCCAUAAGGAUGUCUGUCCGCAUGGGCGGUCAUCUAAAGGUUUUCCGGUUACAGAUGGGCAUGCGUUCCAUUAGCUGGUUGGCGGGGUAACGGCCCACCAAGGCGACGAUGGAUAGGGGUUCUGAGAGGAAGGUCCCCCACACUGGUACUGAGACACGGACCAGACUCCUACGGGAGGCAGCAGUGAGGAAUAUUGGUCAAUGGGCGUAAGCCUGAACCAGCCAAGUCGCGUGAAGGAAGACAGCCCUACGGGUCGUAAACUUCUUUUGUAUGGGAGUAAAAGAGUCCACGCGUGGGCUAUUGCAAGUACCAUACGAAUAAGCAUCGGCUAACUCCGUGCCAGCAGCCGCGGUAAUACGGAGGAUGCGAGCGUUAUCCGGAUUUAUUGGGUUUAAAGGGUGCGUAGGCGGCCCUAUAAGUCAGCGGUGAAAUGUUCCGGCUCAACCGGGAAACUGCCGUUGAAACUGUAGAGCUAGAGUCCACAAGAGGUAUGCGGAAUGCGUGGUGUAGCGGUGAAAUGCAUAGAUAUCACGCAGAACCCCGAUUGCGAAGGCAGCAUACUGGGGUGAAACAGACGCUGAAGCACGAAAGCGUGGGUAUCGAACAGGAUUAGAUACCCUGGUAGUCCACGCCGUAAACGAUGAGUGCUAGGUGUUGGGUCCUUUCCGGGACUCAGUGCCGCAGCUAACGCAUUAAGCACUCCGCCUGGGGAGUACGACCGCAAGGUUGAAACUCAAAGGAAUUGACGGGGGCCCGCACAAGCGGAGGAACAUGUGGUUUAAUUCGAUGAUACGCGAGGAACCUUACCCGGGCUCAAACGCAGGGGGAAUACGUAUGAAAGUACGUAGCUAGCAAUAGCCGCCUGCGAGGUGCUGCAUGGUUGUCGUCAGCUCGUGCCGUGAGGUGUCGGCUUAAGUGCCAUAACGAGCGCAACCCUUAUCGAUAGUUACUACCAGGUCAAGCUGAGGACUCAAUCGAGACUGCCAGCGUAAGCUGCGAGGAAGGUGGGGAUGACGUCAAAUCAGCACGGCCCUUACGUCCGGGGCGACACACGUGUUACAAUGGCAGGGACAGCGAGUAGCCAGGCAGCAAUGCCGCGCCAAUCUCGAAACCCUGUCCCAGUUCGGAUCGGAGUCUGCAACCCGACUCCGUGAAGCUGGAUUCGCUAGUAAUCGCGCAUCAGCCAUGGCGCGGUGAAUACGUUCCCGGGCCUUGUACACACCGCCCGUCAAGCCAUGGGAGCCGGGAGUACCUGAAGUAUGCAACCGCGAGGAGCGUCCUAGGGUAAUACUGGUGACUGGGGCU